rnacentral:lncRNA from 1 species
AUCUGGGCUGAAUGCUCUUCAAGCAAUCAUCUCAAUGUAUCACUUGCUCAUGUGCAUCCGGAUGAGAAAAAAAAUCGAUGAAAUGAGAGAAGAUCAACAGUUGACCCGACAAUGUUGCUUAACCAUAGCAAAGGAAGGAAGUCGGCUAAGGCUCUUCCCAUCGACGACAGAUUGGACCAAAGAAAGGAAAAAAAUUAAGGGG